rnacentral:rRNA from 1 species
AACUUUACACUGCGGGAAACCGCGAUAAGGGGACCCCGAGUGCCAGCACCUAGUGCUGGCUGUCCAGCUGUCCAAAUAACAGUUGUUAGCAAGGGCCGGGCAAGACCGGUGCCAGCCGCCGCGGUAACACCGGCGGCCCGAGUGGUAGCCGUUAUUAUUGGGUUUAAAGGGUCCGUAGCCGGCCUGUUAAGUCUCUUGGGAAAUCUGGCGACUCAAUCGUCAGUCGUCCAAGAGAUACUGACAGGCUCGGGACCGGGAGAGGUGGGAGGUACUCCAGGGGUAGGGGUGAAAUCUCGUAAUCCCUGGGGGACCACCGAUGGCGAAGGCAUCCCACCAGAACGGGUCCGACGGUGAGGGACGAAAGCUGGGGGCACGAACCGGAUUAGAUACCCGGGUAGUCCCAGCCGUAAACGAUGCUCGCUAGGUGUCAGGUGCGGUGCGACCGCAUCUGGUGCCGCAGUGAAAACUUGAAGCGAGCCACCUGGGAAGUACGGUCGCAAGGCUGAAACUUAA